rnacentral:rRNA from 1 species
UGCGUAGGCGGUCGCGCAAGUCGGAUGUGAAAUCUCAGGGCUCAACCCUGAAACUGCAUUCGAUACUGCGUGGCUAGAGUGCUGGAGAGGAGACUGGAAUUUACGGUGUAGCAGUGAAAUGCGUAGAUAUCGUAAGGAAGACCAGUGGCGAAGGCGAGUCUCUGGACAGCAACUGCGCUGAGGCACGAAGGCCAGGGGAGCAAACG